rnacentral:rRNA from 1 species
GCGUUGGGAGCUCUCCAUAUGGUCGACCUGCAGGCGGCCGCGAAUUCACUAGUGAUUAGAGUUUGAUCAUGGCUCAGAAUCAACGCUGGCGGCGUGCCUCAGACAUGCAAGUCGAACGCGAAAGUUCCCUUCGGGGAGCGAGUAGAGUGGCGUCCGGGUGAGUAACACGUAGGUAAUCUACCUUCGGGUGGGGAAUAACCCAGGGAAACUUGGGCUAACACCGCAUAAUGCAGCGGCACCACAUGGUGACAGUUGUUAAAGCGGGGGAUUUUCGAACCUCGCGCCUGAAGAGGAGCCUGCGGCAGAUUAGCUAGUUGGUAAGGUAACGGCUUACCAAGGCGACGAUCUGUAGCCGGCCUGAGAGGGCGGUCGGCCACACUGACACUGACAUACGGGUCAGACUCCUACGGGAGGCAGCAGUCGGGAAUUUUGGGCAAUGGGCGAAAGCCUGAUCCAGCAAUGCCGCGUGGGUGAAGAAGGUCUUCGGAUUGUAAAGCCCUUUCGACGGGGACGAUGAUGACGGUACCCGUAGAAGAAGAAUCGAUUCCCGCGGCCGCCAUGGCGGCCGGGAGCAUGCGACGUCGGGCCC